AUUGAACGCUGGCGGAAUGCUUUACACAUGCAAGUCGAACGAUGAACCUUAGCUUGCUAAGGGAAUUAGUGGCGAACGGGUGAGUAAUGUAUCGGAACGUAUCCAAUAAUGGGGGAUAACUAGUCGAAAGAUUAGCUAAUACCGCAUACGUCCUACGGGAGAAAGCUAGGGACCUUCGGGCCUGGCGUUAAUGGAGCGGCCGAUAUCUGAUUAGCUAGUUGGUGGGGUAAAGGCUCACCAAGGCGACGAUCAGUAGCUGGUCUGAGAGGACGACCAGCAACACUGGAACUGUGACACGGUCCAGACUCCUACGGGAGGCAGCAGUGGGGAAGUUUUGACAAUGGGCGCAAGCCUGAUCCAGCCAUUCCGCGUGAGUGAAGAAGGCCUUCGGGUCGUAAAGCUCUUUCGCAAGGGAAGAAAACUUAAGCUCUAACAUAGCUUGAGGUUGACGGUACCUUGAUAAGAAGCACCGGCUAACUACGUGCCAGCCGCCGCCGUAA
rnacentral:rRNA from 1 species